AUUUGAUUAUGUUACUUUGCAAGUUGAAAUGUUUUGUUAGUGUAUUAUUUCAGAAAAUUCUUUUCUAUUCAUAAAUGCUUAUCUUUUCAAGUUGUCAAAGCAGGAGUUUGAUAUCCUUUGGUUCUGGCAUGUUAUUCUUUUAUGGGCUAAGCAGAUACUGAUAUUUGUGUUCUUUUCACAAUAAAAUUUUCCCUGACCCACCAAUUCUUAGUUUCAAUCAUAUGGCAAUUAGAAAGCAUGAAACUUACUUCGAUCCUCAUUUUUAAUUUUAUGCAA
rnacentral:misc_RNA from 1 species